CAGUGACCCGGGGCAGUGCCAGGAGAAAUCGAACCAGUGACCCCUGCCCGUUUUGCUACAACAGCAAUAUCUGCUUCAAAGAGAAACGCCGACAAACAUCAGGCCUUUUACGAGAUCUCUGCUCCAAAGUAAGUGGCAAAGGCAGGCGGAGGAGUCUUACUUGCAGUAGGUGUCGUUGAUCAUGCCGUAGACGUGGAUCUCUUUGCACAUGUCCAUGGCGAGGAUGAGCGUGAACCAGCCUGUGCUGAGGGCGCCGAGAGCUCACCGCUGCUCAAAGUAAGCCAGAAGAAGUCGGGGAGAAAGCACAAGGAGGAUUACAGCGCUUUGGAGCCGAAGAGGUGUCGAUCCCACUCUGGAUGUGACGGGAUCAGGCCGGGCUUUGCCGGCUCGGACGUUUGGCCUCGCAAUGAAUCGCUUUGUCAUUCAAGUG